rnacentral:rRNA from 1 species
UAACACGUAGGGGGCGAGCGUUGUCCGGAAUUAUUGGGCGUAAAGAGCUCGUAGGCGGUUUGUCGCGUCUGUCGUGAAAGUCCGGGGCUUAACUCCGGAUCUGCGGUGGGUACGGGCAGACUAGAGUGCAGUAGGGGAGACUGGAAUUCCUGGUGUAGCGGUGGAAUGCGCAGAUAUCAGGAGGAACACCGAUGGCGAAGGCAGGUCUCUGGGCUGUAACUGACGCUGAGGAGCGAAAGCAUGGGGAGCGAACAGGA